AGGUGCAGGAUCCGUCAUCACAUAUAGGAUCUAUUCAUGCUCCAGGACUAUCUUCAACUUUCGGUACCAGCUACCGAAGUUGGGUCCCACCAACUUAUCAUUGUCCAACAACGAUCGGAGCGAUAGGAAAGUGGCCAUAUAUGUAUAAAGAAAAAUCAUAACCUAAUUAGUAAUUGAUCCAUUAAACCUAAAGAUUUAGACUUUAAUCAAAAGGUUUCUCCUAUUAUUUUAUUCGAAUUGGUAGCCUCUACCUCCAAAUUGAAGAAUUAUCCUAAUUCCUUAGUGGGUACUAGAAUCCACUUAGACUGCACACAAGCCCAACUUUGGUUGGCCAACCCAUGUACAUCUAAGGGUAGGUUCAUAACCAAUUAUUUCUCUAAAUAAUUUUUAGUAAUUUUAAUUUUGCCCCAGUCCCU
rnacentral:lncRNA from 1 species